CUGAACGUCCCCUGACGGUAUCUAACCAGAAAGCCACGGCUAACUACGUGCCAGCAGCCGCGGUAAUACGUAGGUGGCAAGCGUUGUCCGGAUUUAUUGGGCGUAAAGCGAGCGCAGGCGGUUUCUUAAGUCUGAUGUGAAAGCCCCGGCUCAACCGGGGAGGGUCAUUGGAAACUGGGAGACUUGAGUGCAGGAAGAGGAGAGUGGAAUUCCAUGUGUAGCGGUGAAAUGCGUAGAUAUAUGGAGGAACACCAGUGGCGAAGGCGGCUCUCUGGUCUGUAACUGACGCUGAGGCUCGAAAGCGUGGGGAGCGAACAGGAUUAGAUACCCUGGUAGUCCACGCCGUAAACGAUGAGUGCUAAGUGUUGGAGGGGUUUCCCGCCCCUUCAGUGCUGCAGCAAACGCAUUAAGCACUCCGCCUGGGGAGUACGACCGCAAGGUUG
rnacentral:rRNA from 1 species